rnacentral:rRNA from 1 species
CACGUAGGGCGCAAGCGUUGUCCGGAAUUAUUGGGCGUAAAGAGCUCGUAGGCGGUCUGUUGCGUCCGCUGUGAAAACUCGGGGCUUAACCCCGAGCCUGCAGUGGAUACGGGCAGACUAGAGGUAGGUAGGGGAGAAUGGAAUUCCCGGUGUAGCGGUGAAAUGCGUAGAGAUCAGGAAGAACACCGGUGGCGAAAGCGCUCUGCUGGACCUAAACUGACACUGAGGGACGAAAGCUAGGGGAGCGAAUGGG